rnacentral:lncRNA from 1 species
CCACAUCUGUCACAACAACAAGCGAUGCAUCAUCAGCCUAGGAGGCCAUUGAGCAAGCAAACAGAAGGUCGGGAGCUGAAACUGAGUUUUUAUCUGUAGAUAUCGACACUUUCGUCAGUUAACUUAAACAGGGUACUUAUCAGAAACAUCUCAGCAAGUUUAUAGCCAUCAUAUGCAGUGAUUUACAGAGAAACACAAGCUUGCACAACAGAUCCAACCUAAACGAUGUAGCACAAACUUGAUCAUGGCAAGAACUGAAAUAAGCGCUGUUGUUAUUUCUCUAGAUCAUGAAUCAGUGUGAUCCCACACAAGUUACAAGAGGACAGAGCACAAACAGCUAACUACAGAGUGCCAUUGAUCUCAUCCACCAAAGAAGACACAGGGACAGCCGAAUUAGGCGGAGGUGUGACGGCCUUGGUGCCCUCGGAAAGCAUCUAACUCCAGCCUGGAAAGCAGCAAAUACUCAUAAUAACCCUGCAAGAAAACAUUGAUCUUGAGACCACAUAAAAAAAGCCAAGAAUGGCAACAUCAUCAGCAGACACAUCUACAAAUUGGAAACUGCACAACUCACAUUAAGCCCCAGCAAAAUACAUGGGAUUUCUUAUUGUAUGUAUCCUGGCCCAAACACAUAUAAUUCAAUGUCUAUUCUUGUGUAAAAGAAUUCUGUAUGUGAUAAAUUCUACUAUAAUAUUUACUGUUUAGUGUGCAGGAAGUUAACUGAUGACUGAAAUGAGCAGCUAUAUACAACAAAUAGACCACAACUGUUGUAGAGCUAGGAUUCAUCUGUGCAGAUAUAUAAGCAAUUGUCAACAAUGCUCCCAGGUAAACGCCAUUCAUUCUUUUGCUAUAAUAAAAGUUCACGUAUGAUUAAGCCUGGAAACAGACGAGGUUGUGAUCCUUUUACUCCUAUCUAACUAGAGACAAGCACCGAACACGCAAACAAGCCAUCACGAGAAAAUAAAUGAUGAUGUAGCAAUAACAACAAAUAGAUCACAACCGUUCUAGAGUUAGGAUUCAUAUGUGCAGAUGUAAGCAAUGCUGAACGAUACUUGCAGAUGAAGGGCAUUCUUGCUGUUGAAGUUUGCAGGUGAUUAGCCGCAAACAGACAAGUUUGUCAUCCUUUAUACCUAUCUAACUAGAGACAAGCACCGAGCAUGCAUAUCAUCAUCAGAAAACAAAUGAUGUUGCAGCGAUAACAACAAAUAGACCACAACUGUCCUACAUCUAUGAAUUAUAUGUGCAGAUGUAAGAAGUGGAAGCAAUGACCAAGACGAAGAUGUCCUACAGCAAUGACCAAGAAGAAUAGGAUUGUUUUUUCUGGAACAAUAUUGACAAAUACACUCUAUGAGACUGAUCCCAUCAGCCAAUUCAAGCAGGAUGUGAGGAGUUGGGAAUACCAAAAGAAGAUGCUAAUAAGAACAUAUCAGCAUAAAGCAUACCCUGUAAACAUUCUAGGCAAAUUGGAUAACACGCUCAACUGAGGGUAAACAUUCUAACAAUCUGCUGAGCUAAAAUCAUGAUAUAACAAAUUAACAACAUAGCUUCAUUGGGCAUAAAGCAUAGUACCAGCCUGUUAAAGAACACACGUAACCCUUGGUUGGUGCAAAUCAGAAGAGGCUUUAGUCUUUUCCAGCCAUAGUAUUUGGAGGAGAUAAUAGGACAUACAAAGAUAAUAUACUACUGCAUUAUUCAGUUUUGAGUCAAGUUGUGCCUCGAACGGAAAGCAUCAGCCAUUAGGCUAAUAUAAAAUAUAGGAGAAAAAUAAAUGAAAAAACUGAUACAAACUAGUAAAUCAUUGUAUGUCUCUAUAAUCUCAUGUAAAUCAUUGUAAAUCAUCGUCUCCAAUCCAAAUAUGCUCAAAUUAAAUAGAGGCCCAUAAUCUCAUGUAUGAUUACAUUUAACCUUUUUCUCAGUAUUGAGGACCUACAUGUUUAUACAGAGCCAAAACUGCUAGAGUAAACUUGUUGUCGUAUAGACAGUUGAAGUGGUCGUGGACUGCAUUGUUGGAGCCAUAAUCACUUCAUGUAGUGACUAGUGUCUACCCAACCAGCUUCAGGUUUUAGUAACUGGACCCUAGAAGAGAGCAGCUGGCAGUCUUCAGUGGAAAAAAGGAGAGCAUUUGUUGCUCUGUUUUUCCUCUGCUUCUGUUAGGCCAUUUCUUAAAUGAUAACAUAAAUAUGCUGACGAUCAUUGCCCCUCUCAGAUUCCUAUUUAUAUAAGUAUGUUGGGAAAAUACUUCGCCAAUUGUCACUACUCCCUUGAAGCUAGCAGCCUACCAUCAUAGGAGCACAGACGGCCUCUAUGAACUGAAACAGUGCAUGCAAAAAACAGAAGAGGAGCUAGCAGCCUAACAUCAUACCAUCACCAUCACCAUCACCAUCACUAAUUAACAAUCUACACCACACUGCCUCUAGUAUGCAGCGCGAAUCACUAACUGAUGCUACUGUUACAACCCACUCGUCUAUUAUCACAAAUGUCACAGUUGUACCAGAACUUUCAGCUGAAACAACAAAAAUAAUGUUUUAGAAGAUAAAAGAGAGGCAUCACUCGAGGUGUUAAGAAAGACAAUAAACAAAAGCAUAAUUGUCUCAGCCACGCGGCCUAGCACUACAAUUAACUGAAGAACAUAUCUGAUGGUGUAAUAUCUAAUCAACCAACUAGAAUGACUAUGAAUGGUUCAUGCAACUUUACUUCGUCCUUGAAAACAAACAAACUGCUAAGUUUCGACGUCUAGGUGGUUUACAAUCUGCCAAUUUAUCCUCAGCACUCAAAUUCAUGGCAAUCUGGACGGCUAGGGAAGAGGCGAACGUUCUUGGCAAGCUAGCUGGUAGGGUUAGGGUCCAUGUGGAGUUGGGGUAGGAGACGCCGUUCUUGGCGUGCUCGCUGGUGAGGACGAGGCGGACGGAGGGCGUGCGGGAGGUGGCAGCCAUGGAGAGGAGGGGGGAGGGGAGGGGCUGCGAUGACUAACCACCGACGAGAAGUCCAGUAUGCCGGAGGAGAUCAUCAGCGUCGAGGUGUCGGGUGGCGCGGCGUCUUGGGGAGGAGGCGGCGCAGCGUCGGCAGCGGCGUCUCGAG